CCUCUCACCCGCAGCAACUGAAGGAGGCGUAGUAAAGGCAAUCCAACAGAACCAAGCCCCCAAGUAAACCAUUCUGACUGGUCACAUUAGAAUGACCAAAUCGUCAGCGAUUGAUUUCAGGGAAAAAAAUCCAAGGGCUGAAAAUGCGGAGGAAGCCUAGUAGCUGGGCGCUUUCAGGGGCGCUGUGCGCGAGAGGAUUAGGCAAGGGGGCUGGAACGCAACCGGGGUUAGAUGCGGCAGCGGCAGCAGCAGCCCUUCCUGGUUCUGCUUCCUUGGCGAAUCCUGUUGCCCUCGACUCAACUUCCCGUCUGAAGCCUCCUUGCUUUAGAAGCUAGAGCUUUGGCGGUUCUGAGGACGUCCCUGGGGGAGCAGGUGGCAGACUGAGGAGCCCCCUUCCCCUCUGAUUCCUGCACAGUAACCCAGGGAGAGUGUGCUAGAAAUGGCUUUGCUGCGGAACGCAUUGUCUUGCCAUUUUCGUGUCCCGAUACUGCACAAAAUGAUCGCCUGAUCGAUGGAGACUGAGGAUCUGUAUGACAGAGGGAGUAAACAUUUGCCCUCGAUAAAAAUGUUCUUGGCUGUAUUCCCACCCUAAUGAUGUCCCAGAGUGGAAGUUUUUCUUCAGUCAUCUCAUUUUACCAAGAGAAUGUUUUCUGUGUAUGUCUCUGUGUUUUAUAGAGGCUAACAAUUAGUCCUAGGGGAAUCUGAAGUCCAAAUAAGAAGGAUGAAUAUCCUGAAUUACAAUCACUACAAAUACAGCCUUAAAAGUUUCAUAUAGAGAGAGCAUAGUUUUCAUAUAAGAUCUCAUCUAUGCUGCCUUAACCUAGUUUACCUAAUUUGCUGUUCAGGGAAAUAGCAAUUGUUUCUUGAGGACCCAACCUGACUUACAUUCAGAAAAUAUAAUUUUAAAAUUUCUAUUUUGUCUGUGAAAUAAAUGUGAGGCCACCUUUCUUAAAUAUUUGAAAACAAAAGGUACAGGAUAAGAAAAAUAUCAAUUUUGUGAACCCCUGGUUCCUGAAUUACAAAACAGUUUAUAGCAUUUAAAGUUUAUUAAAUACCUUGUGUAUGAGCAAUAUAAUAAACCAUUUGAUUAUACUUGCUCAACCCCAAAAUAGACCAAUAGGCCCUAUACACCUAGCUGCAUUUUACCUUCAGAACAAAAAUGGUUUGUAUUUAGACAUCUUUCAAAACCUAUAUGUUUUUUAAUUUUAUUUGAGCAUGACCUUUCCUGGAUAAUUUCAAUGUACAUCUGCUGUUAGUACAUUAGCACAUUUUGUAUUAUUUGCUCAUUUUUUUUGUUCACUAUCCUGGCUCUGUUAUUUUUAAGUAUAUGGGUACCACCUAAAGUAUUUCUUACCUAUUAAUCCACUAAAAUUUCUAAUCGGUAAACAACAUUCAAAGUAUAGUCUACUUUCACAAGUACAUUCUACUUCACAAUUUACUUUUAAAGCAAAAUGUCACAAUGCUUCAUAUUAUUUUAACCUUAAAUCUAAUUUUUAACAAAAUUGGAUUAUAGUAAGAUAAGUAAUUUCAGACUGUUCCUUGCAUAUAAGAGUGUCAUAUAUGACACAC